GAAUUCACUAGUGAUUCAGGCCUAACACAUGCAAGUCGAACGGCAGCACGGAGCUUGCUCUGGUGGCGAGUGGCGAACGGGUGAGUAAUAUAUCGGAACGUACCCUGGAGUGGGGGAUAACGUAGCGAAAGUUACGCUAAUACCGCAUACGAUCUAAGGAUGAAAGUGGGGGAUCGCAAGACCUCAUGCUCGUGGAGCGGCCGAUAUCUGAUUAGCUAGUUGGUAGGGUAAAAGCCUACCAAGGCAUCGAUCAGUAGCUGGUCUGAGAGGACGACCAGCCACACUGGAACUGAGACACGGUCCAGACUCCUACGGGAGGCAGCAGUGGGGAAUUUUGGACAAUGGGCGAAAGCCUGAUCCAGCAAAGCCGCGUGAGUGAAGAAGGCCUUCGGGUUGUAAUCUAAUGGUCAGGGAAGAAACGGUGAGGGCUAAUAUC
rnacentral:rRNA from 1 species